rnacentral:rRNA from 1 species
AACGAACGCUGGCGGCAUGCCUAACACAUGCCAGUCGAACGAGACCUUCGGGUCUAGUGGCGCACGGGUGCGUAACGCGUGGGAACCUGCCCUUAGGUUCGGAAUAACUCCCCGAAAGGGGUGCUAAUACCGGAUAAUGUCUUCGGACCAAAGAUUUAUCGCCUUUGGAUGGGCCCGCGUUGGAUUAGCUGGUUGGUAGGGUAAAAGCCUACCAAGGCGACGAUCCAUAGCUGGUCUGAGAGGAUGAUCAGCCACACUGGGACUGAGACACGGCCCAGAAUCCUACGGGAGGGAGCAGUGGGGAAUAUUGGACAAUGGGCGAAAGCCUGAUCCAGCAACGCCGCGUGAGUGAUGAAGGCCUUAGGGUUGUAAAGCUCUUUUACCCGGGAUGAUAAUGACAGUACCGGGAGAAUAAGCUCCGGCUAACUACGUG